GACGGAGGGGGCUAGCGUUGUUCGGAAUCACUGGGCGUAAAGGCGCGUAGGCGGCCAAGCAAGUCAGAUGUGAAAUCCCGGGCUUAACCCGGAACUGCAUUGAAACUGCAUGCUUGAGUCUCGGAGAGGAUGGUGAAUUCCUAGUGUAGAGGUGAAAUUCGUAGAUAUUAGGAGGAACACCGAUGGCGAAGGCAGCCAUCUG
rnacentral:rRNA from 1 species